rnacentral:rRNA from 1 species
CGAGUCUGAAUAGGGCGUUUAGUAUUUGGUCGUAGACCCGAAACCAGGUGAUCUACCCUUGGUCAGGUUGAAGUUCAGGUAACACUGAAUGGAGGACCGAACCGACUUACGUUGAAAAGUGAGCGGAUGAACUGAGGGUAGCGGAGAAAUUCCAAUCGAACCUGGAGAUAGCUGGUUCUCUCCGAAAUAGCUUUAGGGCUAGCCUCAAGUGAUGAUUAUUGGAGGUAGAGCACUGUUUGGACGAGGGGCCCCUCUCGGGUUACCGAAUUCAGACAAACUCCGAAUGCCAAUUAAUUUAACUUGGGAGUCAGAACAUGGGUGAUAAGGUCCGUGUUCGAAAGGGAAACAGCCCAGACCACCAGCUAAGGUCCCAAAAUAUAUGUUAAGUGGAAAAGGAUGUGGCGUUGCCCAGACAACUAGGAUGUUGGCUUAGAAGCAGCCAUCAUUUAAAGAGUGCGUAAUAGCUCACUAGUCGAGUGACACUGCGCCGAAAAUGUACCGGGGCUAAACAUAUUACCGAAGCUGUGGAUUGUCCUUUGGACAAUGGUAGGAGAGCGUUCUAAGGGCGUUGAAGCAUGAUCGUAAGGACAUGUGGAGCGCUUAGAAGUGAGAAUGCCGGUGUGAGUAGCGAAAGACGGGUGAGAAUCCCGUCCACCGAUUGACUAAGGUUUCCAGAGGAAGGCUCGUCCGCUCUGGGUUAGUCGGGUCCUAAGCUGAGGCCGACAGGCGUAGGCGAUGGAUAACAGGUUGAUAUUCCUGUACCACCUAUA